rnacentral:lncRNA from 1 species
CCAAGAGGUACUUAGCACCAAGCACCCUACUGUUUUCCACACUGUGCUAGCUUUGCUCUUACCUCAGGCUGGAUUCCCGUGGGGUUCCAAGAUGACUACAGCAGUUCCAGUCAUCAUUCUCAGAUAUCAGAAAGCCAAGAGGAGAAAAGACCAUUAUUCAUUAUGUGCCUCCCAGCAGACAUCCCCUGUCUUGUUGACCUGCAUUUCAUCAGAGAGAUGCAAAGGUCAACCUGGAAGAGUGGGCUGACAGCCCCUAGCUACAGCGUUUUGGGAUCCACUGAAGCAGCAGCAAGUUGUGGACAUACUGUCUGUGGGCAGCAUCCAGCCAAUGACUGGGAUACGAAGGUCUUGAGUAUUUCUGCUCGAUGUGGCACUCCUCCAUGGACAUAUUUGCACUGGGGCUCCCCUUUGAACUGGCUGAGACGUUGUCAGAGCUACAUCAUCAUCUGAGGCUCCUCUCUACCCAAUCCUCCUUUCUUCCCCCUCUCUUUCACAAAUGUCAGACCUGCUUUGCAGUUUGAAGCCUUACCCUGCCCUCUCCUGCCCCAUUUAUUUCACAGGCAUUACUCUCAAUAAAUCUCUUGUACCCUUAACUCUUUCCAUCAUUUGCUUACCAGAGGAUAUGAAAAGAUACACAUUAUGCAAUUGUAACAUAACUUCUUUAUCUGUUCUCCUUUUUUUUUUUUUUUGAGACAUUCUGUUCCCUAGGCUGGAGUGCAGUGGAGUGAUCACGGCCCACUGCAGCUUUGACCUCCUGGGCUCAAGCUAUUCUCCCAACUCAGCCUCCCAAGUAGCUGGGAUUAUAGGUGUGAGCCACCACACCUGGCUAAAUAUAAAAAAAAUUUGUAAAGACGGAGUCUUCCUAUGUUUCCCAGGUUGGUCUCAAACUCCUGGGCUCAAGGGAUCCUCCUGCCUCAGGCUCUCAAAGUGUUGAGAUUACAGGUGUGAGCCGUCAUGCCCUGUUCUACUGUUGAUGAGCACUUUAUUUCCAGUCUUGGGGCACUCUGGAAAGUACUGCAAUAAACAUUCUUGUACAUGUAUGUAGGUGCACAUUUGCAUGCAUAUCAGUGUGAAAUAAUUGGUUACAGGUUAUGUGUAUGUCAGCUUUAGUAGAUCUUGUCAGAGUUUAACUAAAUGAUUUUACCAGUCUACAUUAUCACCAAUACGAUAUGAAAUUUCCACUUGCUCCCUAUACUUUCUUACACUUGGUGUUGUUGGUUUUAACAUUUCUAGCCAUUUAGUUUCUCUGAGGUCUAAUAAUAUUGAACAUGUUUUAAUAUGUUUAUUGGUCAUUUGUCUAUUCUUUUAUGUGAAAUGUCUAUUUAUAUGUGACUAUUUUUCUAUUUAUCUGUCUAUAUUUUGCUUCUUGAUUUGCGGG